rnacentral:rRNA from 1 species
UACGGAAGGGGCAAGCGUUGUUCGGAAUCAUUGGGCGUAAAGGGCGCGUAGGUGGUUCUGUAUGUCUACCGUGAAGGCGUACGGCUCAACCGUAUUUUGUCGGUGGAAACUGCAGGACUUGAGGCUGGGAGGGGCUGGUGGAAUUCCCUGUGUAGCGGUGAAAUGCGUAGAUAUCAAGAGGAACACCUGAGGUGAAGACGGGUUGCUGGGCCAACACUGACGCUGAGGCGCGAAAGCCAGGGGAGCAAACGGG